rnacentral:rRNA from 1 species
CCAGACUCCUACGGGAGGCAGCAGUGAGGAAUCUUCCACAAUGGGCGAAAGCCUGAUGGAGCAACGCCGCGUGAAGGAUGAAGGCCUUCGGGUUGUAAACUUCUUUUAUGAGUGAAGAAUAUGACGGUAACUCAUGAAUAAGCACCGGCUAACUACGUGCCAGCAGCCGCGGUCAUACGUAGGGUGCAAGCAUUAUCCGGAGUGACUGGGCGUAAAGAGUUGCGUAGGCGGUUUAAUAAGUGAAUAGUGAAACCUGGUGGCUCAACCAUACAGACUAUUAUUCAAACUGUUAAACUCGAGAAUGGUAGAGGUAACUGGAAUUUCUAGUGUAGGAGUGAAAUCCGUAGAUAUUAGAAGGAACACCGAUGGCGUAGGCAGGUUACUGGGCCAUUUCUGACGCUAAGGCACGAAAGCGUGGGGAGCGAACCGGAUUAGAUACCCGGGUAGUCCACGCCGUAAACGAUGGAUACUAGCUGUUGGAGGUAUCGACCCCUUCAGUAGCGAAGCUAACGCGUUAAGUAUCCCGCCUGUGGAGUACGGCCGCAAGGCUAAAACAUAAAGGAAUUGACGGGGACCCGCACAAGCGGUGGAUUAUGUUCUUUAAUUCGAUGAUAACCGAAGAACCUUACCAGGGCUUGACAUCCAGGGAAGGUCUGCGAAAGUAGACUGUGCCUUUUGGAACCCUGUGACAGGUGAUGCAUGGCCGUCGUCAGCUCGUGUCGUGAGAUGUUAGGUUAAGUCCUUCAACGAGCGCAACCCUUGUGAAUAGUUGUAUUUUUCUAUUCAGACUGCCCCGGUAACGGGGAGGAAGGAGGGGAUGAUGUCAGGUCAGUAUUUCCCUUACGUCCUGGGCUAGAAACGUAAUACAAUGGCUAGUACAAUGCGCAGCGAAGCCGCGAGGUGAAGCAAAUCGCAUCAAAGCUAGUCCCAGUUCGGAUUG